AUGGCGCUCCGCACGCUGGCCGCGAAGAAAACCCUAGGCCUGGCGCUCGGCGGCGCCAGGGGCGUGGCGACGUUCACGCUCCCCGACCUCCCCUACGACUACGGCGCGCUGGAGCCGGCCGUCUCCGGCGAGAUCAUGCGCCUGCACCACCAGAAGCACCACGCCACCUACGUCGCCAACUACAACAAGGCGCUCGAGCAGCUCGACGCCGCCGCCAGCAAGGGGGACGCGUCCGCUGUCGUCGGCCUCCAGAGCGCCAUCAAGUUCAACGGCGGCGGUCAUGUUAACCAUUCAAUCUUCUGGAAGAACCUCAAGCCCAUUAGCGAGGGUGGUGGUGAGGCACCUCAUGGCAAACUUGGCUGGGCCAUUGAUGAGGAUUUUGGUUCUAUUGAGAAACUUAUAAAGAAGAUGAAUGCAGAGGGUGCUGCUUUACAAGGAUCUGGAUGGGUGUGGCUAGCUUUGGAUAAAGAGGCCAAAAGGCUUUCAGUUGAAACUACUCCUAAUCAGGACCCUCUUGUGACCAAAGGGUCAAACCUGCAUCCUUUGUUGGGAAUUGAUGUCUGGGAGCAUGCGUACUACCUGCAGUACAAGAACGUGAGGCCGGACUACCUGACCAACAUCUGGAAGGUGGUGAACUGGAAAUACGCUGGAGAAGAGUAUGAAAAAGUGCUUGCGUGA
rnacentral:rRNA from 1 species